GCCAGGUAUAAUCAGAAGUACUAUUAACAGUUGUAAACUAGACGAAUACAUCAUCACAAUGAAAGUUCUCGUGGUUUCGAUAUUAUGCGUGGUUGUGGCAGUUACUGCGUUCUCAGUCCAAAGAUGCCCCACGGACUGGGAAGAGGUUCAACUACUGCCUCAUAUGGACUGCAGCAAAUUUUUCAUCUGUGCUUUCGGGGAAGCCGUGGAAUUCCCUUGUCCCAACGGCACAUACUAUGACACUGCUAACUCGACAUGUAACUUUCGGCAAAAUGUAGAUUGCUCCGGAAGAAUCGUUGAUGCCAACUAAAUUGAAUAUUUUUCCUUAAGAACACUGUUAUAAGUACCUACCUGCAGUAAUAAAAUUAUUUUGAGCAUU